rnacentral:rRNA from 1 species
AACGCGAAGAACCUUACCUGGGUUUGACAUACACCAGAAAGCCGUAGAGAUACGGCCCCCCCUGUGGUUGGUGUACAGGUGGUGCAUGGCUGUCGUCAGCUCGUGUCGUGAGAUGUUGGGUUAAGUCCCGCAACGAGCGCAACCCUUAUCUUAUGUUGCCAGCGCGUAAUGGCGGGGACUCGUGAGAGACUGCCGGGGUCAACUCGGAGGAAGGUGGGGACGACGUCAAGUCAUCAUGCCCCUUAUGUCCAGGGCUUCACACAUGCUACAAUGGCCGGUACAGAGGGCUGCGAUACCGUGAGGUGGAGCGAAUCCCUUAAAGCCGGUCUCAGUUCGGAUCGGGGUCUGCAACUCGACCCCGUGAAGUUGGAGUCGCUAGUAAUCGCAGAUCAGCAACGCUGCGGCGAAUACGUUCCCGGGCCUUGUACACACCG